rnacentral:rRNA from 1 species
UGAGGAAUAUUGGUCAAUGGGCGAGAGCCUGAACCAGCCAAGUAGCGUGCAGGAUGACGGCCCUAUGGGUUGUAAACUGCUUUUAUAUGGGAAUAAAGCGAGGGACGUGUCCCUUAUUGCAUGUACCAUACGAAUAAGGACCGGCUAAUUCCGUGCCAGCAGCCGCGGUAAUACGGAAGGUCCAGGCGUUAUCCGGAUUUAUUGGGUUUAAAGGGAGCGUAGGCUGUUUGUUAAGCGUGUUGUGAAAUGUAGGAGCUCAACUUUUAGAUUGCAGCGCGAACUGGCAGACUUGAGUGCGCACAACGUAGGCGGAAUUCAUGGUGUAGCGGUGAAAUGCUUAGAUAUCAUGACGAACUCCGAUUGCGCAGGCAGCUUACUGUAGCAUAACUGACGCUGAUGCUCGAAAGUGCGGGUAUCAAACAGG